UCCUUGUCUCGCCGCACAACACACACAAAAAUAAAUGGAUCCGUGCGAUUGAAAGAGGGUGACCGGUGGUUGUUUACACAAUAACGAAGAGACUCGGGAUUAGGUGGAAUUGAGGAUUGUCAAAUUCUUAGAACGGAGCAAAGAAUAAUUCGAGAUUGUUAUUGUCUUCUAGGCGAAGGUUAAAUAAAGUCUUUAAUGUUUAGAUGAUGAAUUGAGAGUUUGUAAUAAUGAGAUUCUUUCUUUAGGUUGAGAUUUAUUUGGAGUUGAGGAAUAUUUAUUUUUAUCAAGUUAAUUGGCUUAGUUGACUUUUGGGAUUAUAGAGAAUAUUUGUUGUUGGUUUUAGUUCAAUGAAGAGAUUUGUUUUAGUGUUCUUUUAA